rnacentral:rRNA from 1 species
CAGUCGCCGCGGUAAUAUGUAGGUGGCGAGCGUUGUCCGGAAUUAUUGGGCGUAAAGGGAGCGCAGGCGGACAUAUAAGUCCAUCUUAAAAGUGCGGGGCUCAACCCCGUGAGGGGAUGGAAACUGUAUGCCUUGAGUGCAGGAGAGGAAAGCGGAAUUCCCAGUGUAGCGGUGAAAUGCGUAGAUAUUGGGAGGAACACCAGUGGCGAAGGCGGCUUUCUGGACUGUAACUGACGCUGAGGCUCGAAAGCCAGGGGAGCGAACGGGAUUAGAUACCCCUGUAGUCCCUGUCUCUUAUACA